rnacentral:rRNA from 1 species
UACAGAGGUCCCGAGCGUUGUUCGGAUUCACUGGGCGUAAAGGGUGCGUAGGUGGCGUGGUAAGUUUGAUGUGAAAGCUCAGGGCUUAACCCUGAAAUGGCAUUGAAUACUACUGUGCUGGAGGUUUGGAGGGGGGACUGGAAUUCUUGGUGUAGCAGUGAAAUGCGUAGAUAUCAAGAGGAACACCAGUGGCGAAGGCGAGUCCCUGGACAACACCUGACACUGAGGCACGAAAGCUAGGGGAGCGAACAGG